GGGUCGGGGGCUGCAGGUGGGAGUGAGCAAAUGUGCUGUCUCGCCACCUCGGGACAGGUGGUAGGGCCUCUGACACAGAGUGGUCCUUCCUGCUGUUCACAGCUCAGCUCACCGUGGGCUGACCAUAGAUUCUCGUUGAAAUCCUAACGCCCCAGGCAAUGAUGUUAGGAGGCGGGGCUUCUGGGAGAUGGCAAGUUCGUGAGGCUGCAGCUCUGCUGGGGGAUCAGUGUCCUUCUACAAGCGGCUCCAGGGAGGUCCCUUGCCCCUUCCACCAUGUGAGGACCCGAGAUGGUGCCGUCUAUGAACCGGGAAGUGAGUCCUCUCCGGACGUGGAACAAGUUGGUGCCUUGAUUUUGAACUUGCAGCCUCCAGCACGGCCACUAGCACGUUUGAAGUCACACACAGGGUAGCGCCGGCCUGGACAGAGGCGGACAUCUGACAAGCGGGCCAAUGAGGAUGACAUCUCGGACGGUAGUCACUGCUACAACGAAAGUCAGUGCCCCACCUUGCCCAGCCGCAGGGUGGACCCUAAGCAGCUCGCCCCACCCAGCCGGUCCUGCCUGCUCUGUCCCUCCCAACCCUGCAAUGGGCAGAUUUCUGGGGGGCAGUCUCUGACCCACUGUGGCCCAGGUACAGAACCCCGCCUUCAA
ensembl:lncRNA novel transcript, antisense to RBBP8NL